rnacentral:rRNA from 1 species
UAAUACUGGAUAGGCAAUUAUUCCUGUAAUGGUUUUUUGUUUAAAUGUUUUUUCGCCUAAGGAUGGGUCUGCGCCCGAUUAGGUAGUUGGUUAGGUAAUGGCUUACCAAGCCUUUGAUCGGUACGGGUUGUGAGAGCAAGAGCCCGGAGAUGGAACCUGAGACAAGGUUCCAGGCCCUACGGGGUGCAGCAGGCGCGAAACCUCCGCAAUGUGAGAAAUCGCGACGGGGGGAUCCCAAGUGCCAUUCUUAACGGGAUGGCUUUUCAUUAGUGUAAAGAGCUUUUGGAGUAAGAGCUGGGCAAGACCGGUGCCAGCCGCCGCGGUAACACCGGCAGCUCUAGUGGUAGCAGUUUUUAUUGGGCCUAAAGCGUCCGUAGCCGGUUUAAUAAGUCUCUGGUGAAAUCCUGCAGCUUAACUGUGGGAAUUGCUGGAGAUACUAUUAGACUUGAGAUCGGGAGAGGUUAGAGGUACUCCCAGGGUAGAGGUGAAAUUCUGUAAUCCUGGGAGGACCGCCUGUUGCGAAGGCGUCUGACUGGAACGAUUCUGACGGUGAGGGACGAAAGCUAGGGGCGCGAACCGGAUUAGAUACCCGGGUAGUCCUAGCUGUAAACGAUGCGGACUUGGUGU